CUUAGUAAGUUUUGAGCCAUGAAAUUAGACACAACUAAAGUAUAACAUUCGUAUGGCUAAACGGAUAAUUUCAUAUGCACAAAUUCUCAAUAUCAUACUUACUUCACAUUACCGACCCUUAUAUUCAUACACAAAAGAUCAAUUUAGCCAAAGGCCGGUAGCUCAUUUAUCGACUGAGCGAAUACUAUUUGUAAGGAAUCAACCAAUUCAAUGCAUAUACGAAACAUACCUCAUCGCUG
rnacentral:lncRNA from 1 species